GACGAACGCUGGCGGCGUGCUUAACACAUGCAAGUCGAACGGAAAGGCCCUGCUUUUGUGGGGUGCUCGAGUGGCGCACGGGUGAGUAACACGUGAGUAACCUGCCCUUGACUUUGGGAUAACUUCAGGAAACUGGGGCUAAUACCGGAUAGGAGCUCCUGCUGCAUGGUGGGGGUUGGAAAGUUUCGGCGGUUGGGGAUGGACUCGCGGCUUAUCAGCUUGUUGGUGGGGUAGUGGCUUACCAAGGCUUUGACGGGUAGCCGGCCUGAGAGGGUGACCGGCCACAUGGGGACUGAGAGACGGCCCAGACGCCUACGGGAGGCAGCAGGGGGGAAUAUUGCACAAUGGGCGGAAGCCUGAUGCAGCAACGCCGCGUGCGGGAUGACGGCCUUCGGGUUGUAAACCGCUUUCGCCGGAGACGAAGCGUGAGUGACGGUAAUGGGUAAAGAAGCACCGGCUAACUACGUG
rnacentral:rRNA from 1 species